rnacentral:rRNA from 1 species
UACGUAGGUGGCGAGCGUUGUCCGGAUUUACUGGGCGUAAAGGGAGCGUAGGCGGACUUUUAAGUGAGAUGUGAAAUACUCGGGCUCAACUUGAGUGCUGCAUUUCAAACUGGAAGUCUAGAGUGUAGGAGAGGAGAAUGGAAUUCCUAGUGUAGCGGUGAAAUGCGUAGAGAUUAGGAAGAACACCAGUGGCGAAAGCGAUUCUCUGGACUGUAACUGACGCUGAGGCUCGAAAGCGUGGGGAGCAAACAGG